rnacentral:piRNA from 1 species
CCGACUGAGACACAGCUGCUGCAG